ACUCCUACGGGAGGCAGCAGUAGGGAAUCUUCCACAAUGGGCGCAAGCCUGAUGGAGCAACACCGCGUGAGUGAAGAAGGGUUUCGGCUCGUAAAGCUCUGUUGUUAAAGAAGAACACGUAUGAGAGUAACUGUUCAUACGUUGACGGUAUUUAACCAGAAAGUCACGGCUAACUACGUGCCAGCAGCCGCGGUAAUACGUAGGUGGCAAGCGUUAUCCGGAUUUAUUGGGCGUAAAGAGAGUGCAGGCGGUUUUCUAAGUCUGAUGUGAAAGCCUUCGGCUUAACCGGAGAAGUGCAUCGGAAACUGGAUAACUUGAGUGCAGAAGAGGGUAGUGGAACUCCGAUGUGUAGCGGUGGAAUGCGUAGAUAUAUGGAAGAACACCAGU
rnacentral:rRNA from 1 species